rnacentral:pre_miRNA from 1 species
UGUGCACCAGUGGGGUCCCUCAGCCUGGCCUGUGCCCUCUCACAAUCUGGGACCCCUCAGGGGAUGUCAGAGAGCCAGUUUCCACCCCAUCCCAUAGGCCAGGCUGAGGGACCCCACUGGUGCACA